CGCCUUGUUGGAAUAGUCAGUGUGGGCACAUCUCAUUUUGUGUCGCAAUGAGGCAAUGAGGCUACAGAAAACACAGGUUGUGCUUCCAUCAUUGUAAAACAAAUUACACUGGUGACAAUGAGACCUGGGAUAAUU